rnacentral:rRNA from 1 species
CCGUAGCCCAAGAGAUCGGGAUAACACCUGGAAACAGAUGCUAAUACCGGAUAACAACAGAUGAUGCCUAUCAACUGUUUAAAAGAUGGUUCUGCUAUCACUCUUGGAUGGACCUGCGGUGCAUUAGCUAGUUGGUAGGGUAACGGUCUACCAAGGCGAUGAUGCAUAGCCGAGUUGAGAGACUGAUCGGCCACAUUGGGACUGAGACACGGCCCAAACUCCUACGGGAGGCAGCAGGA